rnacentral:rRNA from 1 species
GGUGCAGCUGUCGACGAUUGGUUGAUCCUGCCAGUAGUCAUAUGCUUGUCUCAAAGACUAAGCCAUGCAUGUGUAAGUAUGAAUCGCUCAUACGGUGAAACUGCGAAUGGCUCAUUAAAUCAGUUAUGGUUUAUUUGAUGGUACUGACCUACUCGGAUAACCGUAGGAAAACUACAGCUAAUACGUGCGCACAUCCCGACUUCUGGAAGGGACGUAUUUAUUAGAUUGGACCGACCGGGUAUAAGCCCGAGCUGCGGUGACUCAUGAUAACUCCACGAAUCGUAUCGGCCUCGUGCCGGCGAUGGUUCAUUCAAAUUUCUGCCCUAUCAACUUUCGAUGGUAGGAUAGAGGCCUACCAUGGUGGUGACGGGUGACGGGGGCAUACGGGUUCGACUCCGGAGAAAAGGCUUGAGAAUCGGCCUUUAGUUCCAAGGAAAGCAGCAGGCGCGCAAAUUACCCAAUCCCGACACGGGGAGGUAGUGACAAUAAAUAACAAUACCGGGCUUUCCCAAGUCGGGUUAUUGGAAUGAGGACAAUCUAAAUCCCUUACCGAGGAUCAAUUGGAGGUCAAGUCUGGUGCCAGCAGCCGCGGUAAUUCCAGCUCCAAUAGCGUAUAUAUAAGUUGUUGCAGUUAAAACGUUCGUAGUCGAAUUCGGCGUGUGCAUCAGCCGGUCCGCGAACCGGCUGUGUGACCGCCUUGCUGCUGGGGUAGGGCGUCUGGUUUUGGGCUUUUGUCGGAUUCCAGAACCCUGAUUUGGCGGCGUUACUGUGAGUAAAUUAGAGUGUUCAAAGCAGGCCUACGCUCUGAAUACGUUAGCAUGGAAUGACACGAUAGGACUCUGGCCUAUUCUGUCGGUCUGUGGGACCGGAGUAAUGAUUAAGAGGGACGGUCGGGGGCAUUCGUCUGUCGGUCUGUGGGACCGGAGUAAUGAUUAAGAGGGACGGUCGGGGGCAUUCGUAUUUCGACGUGAGAGGUGAAACUCGUGGAUCAUCGGAAGACGAACAUCUGCGAAAGCAUUUGCCAAGGACGUUUUCAUUGAUCAAGAACGACAGUUGGGGGAGCGAAGACGAUCAGAUACCGUCCUAGUCCCAACCAUAAACGAUGCCGACUAGGAAUCAGCGGGUGUUUUAUCGAAGGACCCCGCUGGCACCUUGCGAGAAAUCAAAGUUUUUGGGUUCCGGGGGGAGUAUGGUCGCAAGGCUGAAACUUAAAGGGAUUGACGGAAGGGCACAACCAGGCGUGGAGUUUGCGGCUUAAUUUUACUCCACACGGAGAUUACCAGGCUCGGACAUGACGGAAUGGCAGGUUGAAACCUAAACACAAUGUCAUGCGUGGCGGCGCACAGCCGAUGGAUCUUGGGUGACUCGUCUUGUCAAAAGACUCGCACGAGUGUCCCCGGCCGUCUAUAUAGUAGUCUCACUCGGGGACCGAUGGUAGGCAGGCUACUGUGACGGGAUGUCGAUUGCGACGGAAGAGUGGGGAAAUAUCGGUCUGUGACGCCCUAAGACGCGGUGGGCAGCACGCAUGCUACAUUGGUGCAGUCAAACAAGCCCUUGCCGACGGCCGAAAGGUCUCGGGGAGGCAGCCUGCACCGUGAUGGGGAUAGACUGUUGCAAUUAUCAGUCUUCAACGAGGAAUGCCUAGUAGGCGCGAUUCACCAAAUCGCGUCGAUUACGUCCCUGCCCUUUGUACAUACCGCCCGUCGCUCCUACCGAUUGGAUGUGCUGGUGAAGCGAUUGGACUGGCAGCAGUGCGCGGCUUGCCGCGGACUGUAGUCGGAAAAUUCGUUGAACCCUCCCAUCUAGAGGAAGGAGAAGUCGUA